rnacentral:rRNA from 1 species
GGAAUAUUGGUCAAUGGCCGAGAGGCUGAACCAGCCAAGUAGCGUGCAGGAAGACGGCCCUAUGGGUUGUAAACUGCUUUUAUGCGGGGAUAAAGUUGGGCACGCGUGCCCAUUUGCAGGUACCGCAUGAAUAAGGACCGGCUAAUUCCGUGCCAGCAGCCGCGGUAAUACGGAAGGUCCGGGCGUUAUCCGGAUUUAUUGGGUUUAAAGGGAGCGCAGGCCGGAGGUCAAGCGUGACGUGAAAUGUAGCCGCUCAACGGCUGAACUGCGUCGCGAACUGGCUUUCUUGAGUGAGUGCGACGUCAGCGGAAUUCGUGGUGUAGCGGUGAAAUGCUUAGAUAUCACGAAGAACCCCGAUUGCGAAGGCAGCUGGCGAGUCCUCUACUGACGCUAAAGCUCGAAGGUGCGGGUAUCGAACA